UUGUUUUUCUACUUCCUUGUGUUUCAACAACAUUUGGUUAUUAAUUGGAGAUUUUUCUAUCUUUUUGAUGUGGAUGUUUACUGCUAUAAACUUUUUUUCACUUUUAUAUAUUUUUUAUUAUACUUUCAGUUCUGGGGUACACGUGCAGAUUGUGUAGGAUUGUUACACAGGUAUCCCAUGCCAUGGUGGUUUGCUGCAUCCAUCUCCCCGUCAUCUACAUCGGAUCUGUGGCAGGGGACUUUUUCAGUCUGAACAUUAUACUCCUCAUUAAAGUGAUGAGAGGGCCUUGAUUGCUUGGGUAAAGUAAUCAAGUGAAAUAAAGGGGAAACUUAUCUUACA
rnacentral:lncRNA from 13 species